rnacentral:rRNA from 3 species
GUGGUCCCACCUGACCCCAUGCCGAACUCAGAAGUGAAACGCCGUAGCGCCGAUGGUAGUGUGGGGCCUCCCCAUGCGAGAGUAGGGAACUGCCAGGC